AUUGAACGCUGGCGGCAGGCUUAACACAUGCAAGUCGAACGAUGAUUAUCUAGCUUGCUAGAUAUGAUUAGUGGCGGACGGGUGAGUAACAUUUAGGAAUCUGCCUAGUAGUGGGGGAUAGCUCGGGGAAACUCGAAUUAAUACCGCAUACGACCUACGGGUGAAAGGGGGCGCAAGCUCUUGCUAUUAGAUGAGCCUAAAUCAGAUUAGCUAGUUGGUGGGGUAAAGGCCCACCAAGGCGACGAUCUGUAACUGGUCUGAGAGGAUGAUCAGUCACACCGGAACUGAGACACGGGCCGGACUCCUACGGGAGGCAGCAGUGGGGAAUAUUGGACAAUGGGGGCAACCCUGAUUCAGCCAUGCCGCGUGUGUGAAGAAGGCCUUUUGGUUGUAAAGCACUUUAAGCAGGGAGGAGAGGCUAAUGGUUAAUACCCAUUAGAUUAGACGUUACCUGCAGAAUAAGCACCGGCUAACUCUGUGCCAGCCGCCGCCGUAACAC
rnacentral:rRNA from 1 species